AUGAAUGUCCAAAAGGAAGAGCAUUUAUUUAAUCCACCCACAUGCUUCCUCUGUCUUGGGUGGUUUGAAUGUGACACCCAGACGCACACGGGUGCAGGGAGGACACAUUUGCAGGGAACAGAGAGCAAGACAGCAGCAGAAAGUCAGCAGGAGAGGCAGGGACUGGGAUUCCAGAGAAAGGGGCUGAAGUCGAGGGGACAGGACGACAGGACUGCUAGAGGCUGUGCUGUAUGGCGAGGACUUUUCAUUCUCCCAGGAGCCUGGCCACAGGUGUGUGGUAUUCUGGAGUUUCCCAAAGCUUUGAUUAAAGCCCAUGAAUGCACAUGCCUUGAAUAUUUCUCUGUACCUUGUGACCCUAGAAGUGAUCCUGCCCUUUGAAUCAAUCCUUUAUUUCAUCUAGGUCGUUACCGGAGUAAACGGCCCAGAGGCAUUUUAGUUAGCAUCACCUAAGCCCAUGUUUCUCACACAAACAGAAAGGUCCACUUCAGAUCUUCUCACGGGAGCCAGAUGACCACUUCUACCAAAAAGCCACAGCAGGGGCUUCCCUGGCGGUCUAGUGGUUAAGCAUAUGAUUGUGGUGUGGGGGAACAUCCUGGUAAGAUCUGGUAAGAUUUUACAUGCCACAGGGCAACCAAGCCUGCGAGCCACAACAACUGACUCCAUACACCCUAGAACCCAUGCUCGACACCAAGAGAAGCCAUUGCAAUUAGAUGCCUGCACAUCGAAACUAGACAGUAACUUCCACUUGCUGCAACUGGAGAAAGCCUGUACAGCAAUGAGGACCUAGCGCAUCCAAAAAAAUAAAAAUAAAGAAAAUAGACUGAUGCUUGAGGGUGGCAACAAGUUUCAUGGUCUCAAAGCCAGCCCCAUCUUGUUCGACACACUUCUGGGCAGAUAGAGUGAACACAGAAGGCACGCUGAUGCAACAUGUAGGUGACACAAGGCUGAACAGGAUAAUGGGUCGCACAGUGGAUUGAGUCACUUGAACUCAAAUGUCCUCACUGAGUGACAAUCAAAUGUAAAUGAUCAGGACCUGCUAGAACAGGCCAAAACUAACAACACAAGGCAAGCAGCGUGUAGUAAGGCUCUUCUUAGGUUGAUAGAAGCAACUGACAGCCAAGUGCUUCUCCAACUGCAGUGAGGACGGGACACACCUGGGGUUCUCUCUAAAAGGCAGGUUCUGACUCAGCAGGUUUGCAGUGCGGGCUUGAAAGCCUGCUUUUUUGACGAGUUGCUGGGUGAAGAGGGUGCUGCUGGAGCACUGGCUACUCUCUGAGUGCUAAGUCAGUCGUGUCCGACUCUUUGUGACCCCAUGGACUGUAGCCCACCAGGNNNNNNNNNNNNNNNNNNNNNNNNNNNNNNNNNNNNNNNNNNNNNNNNNNNNNNNNNNNNNNNNNNNNNNNNNNNNNNNNNNNNNNNNNNNNNNNNNNNACCAGGCUCCUCUGUCCAUGGGAUUCUCCAGGUAAGAAUACUGGAGAGGGGAUGCCCUUCUUUCCGACCUGGGGAUGAAUAGCAAGGCUGAGAAAGCCCUGAGCAGUUUGUCAACCAUAUGCUCGCAUGACCACCAUUAGAUUUCACACGAAUGAAUGGCCCUACUAUCCUCUGAUGCCCCAGCCCCUUCUGCUGUAUUGCAUUUAGGACAGAAAACCAUGUUUUAAUGUGGCCUUUAGGGGAGUAGAAUGUGACCAAGAGAACAAAUAAAAUUCUGAGACAUCUAGAAUCUACGUGGUGAGAAUGGGAAGAACUGGGACGCUUCAGCCGACAGAAGGGAACACCAUGUGCAGGAUAUGAUAUAGUCGCUAUCGCUAGAUAUUUAAAAUGCUGUGAAGAGCUCCAGAGCAUUAGAAAAACAGACUGAAACGUGACACAACAACCAGGCUCCUCCGUCCAUGGGAUUCUCCAGGCAAGAAUACUGGAGUGNNNNNNNNNNNNNNNNNNNNNNGGAUCUUCCCCACCCAGGGGCUGAAUCUGUGUCUCUUUAGUCUCCUGCCUUGACAGGCUGGCUCUUUACUACUAGCUCCACCUGGGAAAGCCCAUAUUGCAUAUAUAGUUAUUAGCAAUCAACUGCUAUGAUAGUUACAUCAUGUUAGUGAUUUACACAUUAUAUGUUUAUUUCUCAGUUACGAAUAGUCUAAAAUGGAUGUUCUUGGGACUUCUUGGUGGUCCAGUGGUUAAGACUCUGAGCUUCCAAUACAGGGGGCAGGGGGGUUCAAUCCCUGGUCAGGGAACUAAGAUCCAACAUUCCACAUGGUGCGGCCAAGUAAAUAAAUAAAUAAAAUAGGUAUCUUUGAUUAGCAGUUAGCUUUGCUCCAAUUGGCCACAAUUCAGUGACCACUGCUCCUUCCAUGUGGAGGCUCUGCCAACGGCAUGAACCUUGCAGGGUCUUGAUAGAAAGGAAAAGAGCAAGCAGUUCACACACAGCAGGUUGUCAGGAGCCAGCUCUUACAGGUGACAUAUUGCUUCUGCCUGCACGUGACUGGCCAGACCUCAGAAACAAGGUCACAUUCAGUGACAGGGAGACUCAGAAAUGUGGUUAAGCCCAGGAAGAAACGGACGUGGUGAACAGCCAGCUACUCCCAGCUGCUUUCUCUCCUAAGGCUGCUCUGAGGGUGAUGCUUUAGACAGUGCAGAGAGAAUGCUGAGUUUGGCUUAGUCCCUGUUACAGUCGUCGCUCAACAAAUUGCUGUUAUCAUUUAACUUUAGAGAACAAAUGUAGUUCCCAGAUAUUAAAUUACAGGGAGACAGAUUUCAGAUCGAACCAAGACAAAACAAAGAAAUAAUAGUUCAAUUAUGGAUUCUGUGAUGACAGUAAGGUUCCCAUCACUGGCGCUAUUCAAGUAGAGGACCUUGGCUUCAGGGAGGCCAAAUGGAGUUUCUUUAUUCAUUGAAUAUUGGACCAGCUAACCUUUGAAUAGCCUCAGAAAUAUCAAGAACCUUGGGCUGCAAAUAAGUGUUUUGAUUCUAAGCAGAUUUGCACACAAAUGUGGUAGAUGGGACCACAUCAACAUCCUUGUUUUAUGGACUCUCAUCUUUGGAACCUAGCCUGCACCUCAGCAAUGGAUGUCAGUCAGUAGCCUUGAAACAAAUGAAACCAGAUAAGAGGAUGCAACACCCUACCUGCUGGGGUCCAGCCCCGGUGGUUCCAGGGAAUUUGAAGGGGAGACGAUGUGGCGAGGAAAAACUUAUUUAUUUAGAAAUAUAAAAGAAAUUAGGAAAGAAUAGUAUAGUAGGAAAAUUUAGUGAAGAAAAGAGGCUGAAUAACUUGGU
rnacentral:lncRNA from 1 species